rnacentral:rRNA from 1 species
UGCCAGCCGCCGCGGUAAUACGGAGGGGGUUAGCGUUGUUCGGAAUUACUGGGCGUAAAGCGUACGUAGGCGGAUUAGUAAGUUAGAGGUGAAAUCCCCGGGCUUAACCUGGGAACUGCAUUUGAAACUGGUCAACUAGAGUAUGGUAGAGGAAAGUGGAAUUUCUGGUGUAGCGGUGAAAUGCGUAGAUAUCAGAAGGAACAUCAAUGGCGAAGGCAGCUUUCUGGACCAAUACUGACGCUGAGGUACGAAAGCGUGGGUAGCAAACAGGAUUAGAUA